AUCGCUAUGGCUUAGUGGGAAAGCGCCAGGCUCAUAUGAUCGUGAUCACCUGCACCUGGAGAGCCCUUGAUCGAAACAAGGUGGCGAUA